UACGGAGGGGGCGAGCGUUAUUCGGAAUUACUGGGCGUAAAGCGAUCGUAGGCUGAUGAGUCAGUCAGAUGUGAAAGCCCCGGGCUUAACCUGGGAACUGCAUUUGAAACUGCUUAUCUAGAAUCUCGGAGAGGGUAGUAGAAUUUCCAGUGUAGAGGUGAAAUUCGUAGAUAUCUGGAGGAACACCAAUGGCGAAGGCAGCUUACUGGACAAUAACUGACGCUGAGGCACGAAAGCGUGGGUAGCGAAAGGG
rnacentral:rRNA from 1 species